AUAAGUUCGAUUCUUCCCAUCUUUUCUCCUCUCACCGCUGCACAUCAUCUCCUCCUCUCCUCAUCUUCUCCGCGAACCUGCUCCAUUCGAUCCCUCUUCAUCGCCGACACAGCUCUAUCUCGCCCUUCACCAGAGCCACCACCAGUCAGUCGCCAACGGUAAUAGGGUCAGCAGCGGAUAUAUCUAGGGCUGGUCGACCAUCUCUUCAUCCCCGAUUCACCGUCUGCGUGCCCUAGUUCUCCACCGUCAUUGAUCCCUCUCUCCCUCCUCCCUUCUUUAUCGCCGGUGCACACUACCAUUGGCUCCUCGGAAGGAUUAAACGUUACCACAAAAGGAGCGGAGGGCAGCCCUCUCCUAAUCUCCUUACGCUAAGCAACACCGACCCCGUGCCCUAGCUCUUGAUCCAUUAUCGACCGAUCGCUAGGUGCCACCAGUGCCGAAAAGGGGAAACAACGCAAAGAAAGGUUAGAGCUACCUUUCCUCUGGUUUAGGACCAAAUCAGAGCAAUGGAUGGUGCCACCCGAGGGCUUGUCGGUGGUAGAUCCCUAGCAUUUUUGUCCACCAUCACACCAUCUUCCUUUGUUGAAGUUGAAUCGCAGACAUCGACACUAGAUCGUAGCUGUAGCUGACAUUCCAAGUGGCCAUCAACCGUCACUGCACUCCCUCAUCCUACUGAGCUCCCUCUCCACUGAUCACAAGAGGGUGCUCUGCUGCCUUGCUGCUAUCUUAGAGCAGUUUUGCUUGGUUUUAGCCACAACUGUCGGCAGUGGAGUUUCUCUGGCAAGGGUCAACAGCUGUGUGAUUGGAGUUAGGAUGUUGAUUCAAAACGAGCGUUUCGACGUGGGAUUGUUAGCACGAUAGACAGAUAAAGGCGGG